GUGGGGAAUAUUGGACAAUGGGCGAAAGCCUGAUCCAGCCAUGCCGCGUGUGUGAAGAAGGUCUUCGGAUUGUAAAGCACUUUAAGUUGGGAGGAAGGGCAGUAAGUUAAUACCUUGCUGUUUUGACGUUACCGACAGAAUAAGCACCGGCUAACUUCGUGCCAGCAGCCGCGGUAAUACGAAGGGUGCAAGCGUUAAUCGGAAUUACUGGGCGUAAAGCGCGCGUAGGUGGUUUUGUAAGUUGGAGGUGAAAUCCACGGGCUGAACCUGGGAACUGCCUCCAAAACUGCAUGACUAGAGUACGGUAGAGUGUAGUGGAAUUUCCUGUGUAGCGGUUAAAUGCGUAGAUAUAGGAAGGAACACCAGUGGCGAAGGCGACUACCUGGACUGAUACUGACACUGAGGUGCGAAAGCGUGGGGAGCAAACAGGAUUAGAAACCCGUGUAGUCC
rnacentral:rRNA from 1 species